AGAGAGAGACAUGCGCGCAUAUCAAUAAGCGGAGGAAAAGAAACUAACUAGGAUUCCCUUAGUAACGGCGAGUGAAGGCGGGAAGAGCUCAAAUUUGAAAUCUUCAAGGUUCUACCUUGACGAAUUGUAGUUUAAAGAAGUGUUUUCUGCUGGAGUUUUGGUAAAAGUUCUUUGGAAUAGGACAUCAUAGAGGGUGAGAAUCCCGUAUUUGACCAUUAUUUCAGCUUUGUGAUACACUUUCAAAGAGUCGGAUUGUUUGGGAAUGCAGUCCAAAAUGGGUGGUAAAUUUCAUCUAAAGCUAAAUAUUGGCGAGAGACCGAUAGCGAACAAGUACCGUGAGGGAAAGAUGAAAAGAACUUUGAAAAGAGAGUUAAACAGUACGUGAAAUUGUCAAAAGGGAAGCGUUUGGACACCAGUGUUGUUUUCUCGAAAAUCAAUUAAAAAUGGCUCGAUUUUGUAUUGUUGAGACCUUAAAAGCUCACUGUACAUUUUUCGUGUCUUUUUUAAUGCACUUAUCGUUUAACAAGUCAACAUCAGUUUCUUUUGUUGUAAAAGGGUCAUUGGAAGGUGGCUUUCUUUUCGGAGAAAGUGUUUAUAGCCUUUGGCCUCUGCAAUCGAAGAGACUGAGGUCUGCAGCGUAGACUCUUCGGGGUUAGAUACAUUUGUGCUAAGUUAUAGCUUUUUAUAGACAACUUGUUGACUAUAAUUAGUCUUGUAGCUUACUCGCUUAUGCUAUUUUACCUACGCUUAGGAUGUUGAAGAUGUAGCACAUCAU
rnacentral:rRNA from 1 species